CCCACUCUAAGCCCACACAGUUCCCAACACCCCAGAAGGAGAUUCUGUGGAAGUUCUGCAAGGUGAUCACUUCAAUCCCCUGAAACACUGAAACCAAUAUCUUCUCCACCAAGAUGAGCUGAUAGGCUGUGAAAGAUACUGGAGUGACAGCUCUUCUGCAUUGAUCCAGUACAGAGAAUAGCCAUGGAAUUUCUGUUUGCACCUUCCAGGGUUCAGAGCUGGAAAAUGAUAAGAGACAGGACAGACUGCAAUCUUCUUCAAGCAAAAGGAGUGAAGAAAAAUCCUUUGGUUUGUUUUCCUGAAAUGAAGCACUUCUAACUGCGGUUGAACUGAAGCAACUGGGAUUCCUGCUCAAGGGAAUGAGUACCACUGGCACCAGAGCCCUUCUGGGUAAACUGUAGUCCCUUGGCUAAAUCCCACCACCCCAUCACCCAAUGAAGAGCAUUGUUAGCAAUGGUGAUCUUCUGAAGGAAUCAGGCCAUGAUGACUUGAAUCAUUAUUAUACAGCUGAUGUCAUUUCCACAGCCCAGCUGACAAGGAUUUCACAAUGGUAUUCUUCAUUUGAAAGAAUACCAUUACAGAACACUAUUUAAACAGCUCGUAACAUUUCAGUUAGCACCAGUGACUGGAAUGGGGCCUUAGACACAAGAAUGGACAUUUAUGAGUAUGUGAAUUGGGGGAAAAUCAUGUUGGCUUGAUGGUAUUUCCUCUCAUACUUUUUGUCUUUGGGGAAGUGCUGGCACGGUAUUGCAAAGCAGGACAGGUAGAGCUGGAAGCACAUAUAUGACCCAAAUCAUCUUCAUACAGGAGAAUCUUAGACUUUACUUUUUUCCAUUGUUCUCUAUAAUGGAAGGGAGUUGUGCAUGUGAAAGUCAAUUUAUAAUAAAUAAGCAAUUUAUAUAUGCAUUGAAAAAAUCUCUGAAUUAAGAAGCAGAAUGAGGACUGACAGAAAAAUCAAUAUUGUAUAUUUAAGCCUAGACUUAAAGCAAAUGACACUGCAAAUUUAAUUCACAUGUUUAACUUGUUCACAAUUGUCAAUGCACUUUCUAUACAAGUACAUUGAUGCAUAUGGAGAUUUAAGGCAUAUGUUGCAUGAAUUUAACAAUACAGAUUGAACAAGAACACAUCUCCUAUCAGAUUAAUUACAUAAUUAGCAGGAAAAUCCAUCAAAUUGCUUUAUGAAUUCAAAUGAGAAAGUCAUGGAAGUUUUUUGAGGUUUAUUUUUUCUGUGGAGGCAACAAUAGUGCACAUUCUGUACAUUUCACAGAUUGUAUUUAGUAUCAAAGAGAGAUAUGUUAACAGCAAACUAGUUGUGUGCAAAUUAAAAGAUGUGUGCAAAGUGGACAGAUUUGGAAAGCUGGAGGACCCUAACUGUAGGAAAUGCAUUAACAUCAGUGACACCUGUACCUCCCUCCUCUAUCCCAUUUUCCUAAAGAGAAAGAAAACCAGAAUGUUGCAAUGUCUAUAAUAUCCCUAUAAUUCAUGCCAAUACCACACCUAGGCCUUUUGGUGUCCUUGCCUUUCAUAGUGUGAGGGAAGCAAACACUGAUUAGUAGUGCAAAAGGGAGGACAAAGGUUCUCUGUGCCCUGCUGUAGCUGCAAAUGUUUAAAAUGCAUGUACCUGCCAAAGAUGGAAACUGGGGGACUCCCAGAAGGGAUGUCACAGUCACGACCUGAAGGAACACUUCAGGGUGCAUUAGAAGUCAAGUCUAGGUAAACCCCAAAACUUUUGUGGUGUUUUUGUUUCACAAAUAGGUCCCUGGUAAAAGACAUUGAAACUAGAGGGGCUGCAUGUCAGUGCCCUGUGCCAGCUCAGUAUCAAUCCAGCAGGAACUGCAAUUUUCCAGACUACUUGUUAUGCACAAUUUCAGUGUCAUAGUCAUUAGAAAGGCUCCCUGUUAAUCUCAAGCUCUCUCAUGCUCCUCACUGGGCCCUCAAUAAGAAGCAUAACCCACAGAAGUAUAAGAACAAUACAGGUAAAAAAUGGUAAGUAUCAAACUUGACCUUAAAAUUCUUUCAAGACAACAUAUUUACAUCUAGAUUCCUUAGCCCAGCUUCAGGGAGUUUUGUGACUCAUUUACUCACAAUGACAAACCUUGCCCCUCCAUCACUUUCCAGCAAUCCUAUCUGUUUUAUAAAUCAGCAAGGGAGUCAAAUAAUGCCCCUUGUAAGUCAGAUUCUCUUGUGCCAGUCAGUUCUCUUGUGAGCACCAUGAACAUGGAUAUGCUACCUGCCAGUCACACACACACUUCAUACCUGCUGUCAAAGAACACUGAAAGCUUGCUUUGUUUGAUUAGAAAAUCCACAACCAUUCUUACCAAGUGAGAGAAAUUCACUUUAUAAUUAGUGUCAUCUACUCUAUGUUCUAAUAAUUAUGAUUACCAGUUUAAUGACAAAGUGAUGCUACAUAUGCCAAGGUCAUUUAGCCACAGGUAAGAGAGUGUGGCAUUGUACACUGGUACAGAUGUUGGGCACAGAAAAAGAGAGUAGAAUUUGAAAAGGGACAAAUGAAAAGGAAAAAAAAAGAGAUAUGAAAAUUAUAAAUGGCAGACUGGCACAGCCAAAAAAGGUGGAGUAGGGCAAAAAAACAGGAAUAAAGUUCACAGGGAAAAAAAUCUCCAAGCUAGUGUAUCUAAAUUUAAUUUUUAUUAUAUGUCUUUUAAAAUAUUAAAAAACAAUGUGUUAAAAAUGCCUUAGAAAUUCUGUGUCUAGGUGCCCCAAGCAGGAGUUCUGCAAGCCUUUAACAUCUUGGUAGUCCAGUCACUGCACAUACAGGAACAAGCAGUGUAAGCUUUGGCCAGCUGUGCAUAUGACAACACAGAACAUAGAUUUUGACUUAAACAAAUGUUCAACAGGCUUAAAGGCAUUUGACAGCUACACCACAAACCUUCUGAGAGUUAUUUCACCUUCUGUUCAGUUUGUGAAAGACACAGUUAAGAAAAAGUACAGCCAGAUUUCUGCAGAGAAAGUCUGUUAAACAGUAAAGUUUCUUUGUGCACCACAUACCAGCUGCUUUGGAUCAUCCUAUACGAUAAAGCUUCCAAUACAAUCUUCUAUCAUGAGGCAAUUUAACCCCAGAGUGGAAACCUGAAGAAAGCAGUAUGGUAAAACAUUUGACAGAAGAAACUACAAAAGCUUCAGGGUUUCUCUGGCUUACAGAAAGGGAACAGUUUAGGAACACAGGCAAUAAAAGGCUGUAUACUCCAACUGAGAAUGUAUUUCUCAAACACAGAAUAAUUCUGCCUCCCUCCUGAUUUCAAAUACAGACAUUCCGCAGAAGGGAUAACAACUGUAGUGCACCUGCUUCACUUAAGCCCAUUAGAAAAUUUUCCCCUGGGAAUGACCUUCCAUACCCCACCACAAGGCUGAGCAAUAGAAGAUGCAGAGGAAUAAGGUCCUGUAAAAUGAACUCACCAGGCAAAUCAAACAGAACUUUGAUUUCACUCUCCAUGAUGUCCAAGCUGAGACACAUCUAGUUCUCCUUUAGCUCUGAGAGGGAGGCAUAACUGUGGGAAGAAACAAAGUCUGAGUUGUUUAAGUGUAAAAAUACAUACAGCAUGCUUUAAAGGAAUUAUGACACUUCAUCUUGAUAUGCUGUAUUGUUCCACCUAAUAAUAAAAAUCCAAUUAUUCCA